rnacentral:rRNA from 1 species
AGCGAACGCUGGCGGCAGGCCUAACACAUGCAAGUCGAACGAACUCUUCGGAGUUAGUGGCGGACGGGUGAGUAACACGUGGGAACGUGCCUUUAGGUUCGGAAUAACUCAGGGAAACUUGUGCUAAUACCGAAUGUGCCCUUCGGGGGAAAGGAUUUAUCGCCUUUAGAGCGGCCCGCGUCUGAUUAGCUAGUUGGUGG